UGCACCGAGCCGAGAUCGCACCACUGCACUCCAGCCUGGCGACAGAGUGAGUCUCAGUCUCAAAAACAAAACAAAACAAAAAAGUAUUUAAACCCUAUGACAAGUUACUAUUAGGGAUGUUAACAUUGCAUUGAAGAGUGGCUGCAGAUUCAAAAUAAUAUAUUUGGUAUUUUUAAGGUAUGCUCUUUUUCAUAGAGUAAAUCUAAACAACUGAGAUAUUUGCUGAAAAGUUGAUCGAUUCAAGAUAUAUAACACAUGAAGACAGUUUUCUAAAAUCCUCAAUGUAAUUAAGUGUAAAGACAAAGAACUUUAUUCUGUCACAUGCAUCUAGCAAUAGGACGAAAUAAAGACAUAUCAACUGCAGUGUAUUUUAAAAAACAUAUUCUUUCCCCAUAAACACAUUUUACAUAUGUGAAUGCGUCAGUCCUGAUCAUUACAGAAUCCUAAAGAGGACUGAUGAGUACAGGGAGGCAGAGAAGGAGGAUAUUAAAUUCUUCAUUUAAAAUAGUUGUAUAUGUUCUCGAAUUUCUAUUAACCUGAAUCACCAGAGAGAGGUGUCAAGAGAAAGAUUACUUAGCUGAAACCCACAGAGAACUGUUAUCUAUUAGUAACAAAUUAAUUACAUUUGCUGAAUUAAAUGGAGUAUAAUUAUAUGUAAGCCUAAAAUAAGAAUUUUCAAGUCACAUAAUGGAAAAUUUUUAUAGGUGAAAAAUGCAAAAUCGUUAGAUGUCAUUUGACAGGAAUUAUUAGUGCCUACAUACAAUGUACACUUCUAGGUAUAACACAUUUUUUUUAACCGUAAAUGUUCUAACCCACAUAGUAUGGUCCUAAAUCUAAAUUCCAGAGAAGCGAAAAAGACAGCUCAUACCUAAAUGUUGAGGAAGUUUUUCUAAGGAAGAUUUGGACUUGAUUGGUGAUGGAAGAGAUAUAGGAUUUAAAUUAAUGCAAAAGAUCCACAGUAGUAAUGCCAGGAAACGUACCUGGGAACUAAUAAGUUUACCACAUUUAUUUUUCUAUCCUUUAAUAUUCAAGAAAUGUGUUUACUACCUUUGAUAUCCCUCACCUCCCGAAGUGAAACUCGUUAAUUUUCUCACUAAUAGUGAUAAGAACAAUGGAAUGAAGCCAGUUCACCAAUCAUCAAAAGAAAGUCACUGAAAACAAAUUUGUUGACCUAUGUAUUGUUGGUGUCAGAGGAAAAGGGGUCAAGCGAGGAAAGCUGAAAAGUGCUGGCGAGUGAGUGGAGAGUUAAAAGGAAGCGCAGGGUCACACUCAGAGACUGCUUUCUUACAGUGUCAGCAGUCUCUUUGGUCUUCUAUGCCUCUCCUUAAGUUCUCUCAAGAGCCGUUCUCUUCAAGAUCCAGGUGCUUCUGCUGUUCUACUCAAUUGUUAAAAGAAAGAAAGAAAGAAAGCGUCAUAAUUUUUGAGAAGAUUGGAAUCACCAGGACUUGUUUUCUUACCCAUUUCUCUCUUACUUCUAUAAUACUCAUAUUCUGUGGCUUUAGCAAAGUCCUCCUACUCUGAGAUUAAAAACUCUAAUUUGUAACUUAGGCCAUUAUAAAAUGUAUGCUAGAGGACUACUCUGGUUUUUAAACAUGGUACUUAUAAAUACAGCAUUAUUAGAAGUCAAGAAUGUUUCCAACUUCUGUGUUUGUCAUGUAUGUGUCUAGGCCUCUAUCGUAAACUGCUUUACCCUUGACCUCUAGCUACGUUUUCUCCUCCUCCUUCUAAUUGCACCAAGCUUUCUUCUUAGGUCAUUGCAAGCUGUCCUACUUCUUCCCUGGUACACUUAUGUUCUGUAUACUUGGACUGCCUGCCUGUUCUCAAGUUUAUUUCUCAUCCUUAUUUGGAAAGUACAGAACUUGAGAAUGGUAAACAAAAUCGACAUUCUUUGUUAUUUGGUAGGCAAGUAACUAAUUUAAGACUUAAAACAGAAGUAUAAAUUAUUAUAACAGUUAUAAGUGGUUGAGUGCCAAUUUUGUGCUUUUAGCUGUAGAAAAGAAAAUCAUUUUCUUACAAAACUGUGACUAUACACUGUUGGUAAUAAAAUAUUCAUGCUAAUCAUGUUCAUAAGAUUGUAACAGAAAUGCUGAUAUUCUAAUAUCUCCAUUUCUCCCCCUAUGGUACUUAGUAAACUAUGGAACUAGAUACUAGUCUAGAGCAUUUUUUUCUUUCUCAUAUUAUAUUAUAGGUCAUUUUAAUACUAAUUGUAACUAAAAAGUAAGCAUUUUCUAAAACUAUUUCUAUUACCAAUGAAAAAUUGUGUUGAAUGCUAAUACUAAUUAUUUGUCAGUGGUAACCUUUUGUUAAAAGAAUUCGUUUGUUCAUACUAGGCAGGACAGAAACUGAACCGGCAAGAGAGACAGAUAAAUCUAAAUUUCUGCAGCACUUUUUUCUCUCAAUAUAAAUAUUUAAUUAUGUAAUGAGAAAUUCUUAUGAAAAAUUGUGACAUACAAUGGGAUUGAUUCUUUCUCUGUAAGUAGGGCACUAGUCAUGUAUCUGAGAAAGAAAUUAAAACUUUUAAAGUAUUUUUAAGUGAUGGAUCUAUUCUAGGCACUUUAAAAUAUUCUCUUUAAUUGUCACUGUACCCUACAAACUAGAUAUUAUCAUCCCUAUUUCACAGAUGAGUAAUUAAGGUGAAAUAACUUGCCCACAGCUGCACAGUUAAUACUAGGAAGAGCCAGAGGUAUGACACAGGGCUGAUUCUAAAGCUCAUGUCCUUUCCAUCUUCUUAAAAUAGGCCCCUCUGCUCAUUCUUCAGGAGAAAAUCAGCCUUGCAAUAUAUUAUAAUACCUACCACGAGAGCCUUGUGGUUUGGUGGAUAAGGAUGUGGGAUCUGAGGUUAAACUGAAUUUGGAGCUCAAUCCUGUCACUCAUUGAUUGUGUAAUCUUGAACAUUACUUGAUGUCUCUGUGCUUCAAUUUCAUCAUCUGUAAAAAAGGGGUGAUAACAAUAAUAUCCACUUAGUAGUGUGGUUUGUAAGGACUACAUGAGGGAAUACACAUAAAGUUCUCAAUAAAGUGGUCAAUACAUAGUGUUCAAUGGACAUUUUCCAGGAGUUUGUUCUCCCUAUAAAAGUUGGUCUUUUUGUGGGUAGAGAAAAGAUGUAUGGGUUGUAAAUUCCUUUCUUCUUAGCCACUUAUGUCUGGCUGAUUUGGAAAUCACUGCUUGUUUUAGAUCCCUGCCAGAUUUUACAUGUUCAUUUUUUGUUCCUUUCAUGCAUCGUAGAAGAUUAAAAAUGCCCAUAAAUUAUUUGCUAAUUCACCCUUUGAGAAGAUUUUCCUUCUCUUGAAUAUAUGCUAGACUUAGUGACUUACUUGAUAAACAGAAUAUUGCAGAGUGGGACUUUUAAGGCUAAAUAAAAGGAGUCUUGCAUCUUUUGUCCACAUCUCUUUGAAUGCUUCUCUGGGAGUCCUCAACCAUCAGGUGAGAAGUCUGACCGCCUUGAAAUGUUGGAAAGGCCAUGUGUAGGCACUCUGGUCAUCAGAUCCAGCUAAGUCCAGUUUUCCAGUCAUCCCUGCCAAGGUGUCAGACAUCCAAGGAAAGCUGUCUUGGACCCUCCAGACCGAUCUGGAUAUCACUGAAGAUGCUUAGUUGACAGAAUAGUCUCCCAGCUGAGCCCUGCUUUAAUUCCUGACCCCCAAAAUUAUGAGAUAUAAUGAAAUGGUUGUUGUUUUAAGCCACUACAUUUUGGGGUAAUUUGUUACAUAGCACUCGAUAACUGAAACAUGCAUUUAUUUAUUUUCAAUGAAACUCUUGUGCAAAAAACUGUUCUAGGUAGUGGGGAAUGAUGCAUCUAUGAACAACUUUAGCAUGAUCACUGAUCUCAUGAAGGUUACUGUCUUAGCCAGGGUUCUCCAGAGAAACAGAACCAACAAGAUAAGUAUAUACAGAUAUGUAUACAUAAAAGGAGAUUUAUUAUAGGAAUUGGUUCACAUAGUUAUGGAGGUCAAGAAGUCCAACAAUCUGCUGUUUGCAAGCUGAGGAACAAAGAAAGCCAGUGGUGGAAUUUAGUCAGAGGCCAAAGACCUGAGAAUUGGGGUAUGUGUGAGGGAAUGAGCAGAUAGUGUAAAUCCCAGUCUGAGUCAGAAAUCUCAAGAACCAGGAACACCAAUGUCCAAGUGUAGGAGAAAAUGGAUGUCUUAGCUCAAACUGAGAAGAAAAUUCACCCUUCCUUUGCCUUUUUAUUCUAUUCAGACCCUCAAUAGAUUGGAUAAUGCCCGUUCACAUUGGGGAGAGUCAUCUGCUGUACUCAGAUUGCCAGUUCAAAUGCAAAUAUUGCUAAUACCUACUAUUUGAAUUAAAAUUCCUUUAAGAUUCA